rnacentral:rRNA from 1 species
UACAGAGGUCCCAAGCGUUGUUCGGAUUCACUGGGCGUAAAGGGUGCGUAGGCGGUCGGGUAAGUCUGAUGUGAAAUCUCACAGCUUAACUGUGAAACUGCAUUGGAUACUAUUCGGCUAGAGAGUUGGAGGGGGGACUGGAAUUCUCGGUGUAGCAGUGAAAUGCGUAGAUAUCGAGAGGAGCACCAGUGGCGAAGGCGAGUCCCUGGACAACUUCUGACGCUGAGGCACGAAAGCUAGGGGAGCAAACAGG